rnacentral:RNase_P_RNA from 1 species
UGAGUAAGCCGGAUGGUCGCUGCCGCUUUGCGGGAGAGGAAAGUCCGAGCUCCAUAGGGCAGGGUGCUGGGUAAUACCCAGUGGAGGCGACUCUAAGGAAAGUGCAACAGAGAUAUACCGCCAGAAUCAAUCAUUGAUUGAUGAAUGCAGCUAAUGCUGCCUGGUAAGGGUGGAAAGGUGAGGUAAGGGCUCACCAGCACACUGGCGACAGUGUGGCUCUGUAAACCCCACCUGGAGCAAGACCAAAUAGGGGAGCAUAAAGCGCUGGCCCGGCGUGCUCCCGGGUAGUGUCGCUUGAGCCAAUUGGUAACAAUUUGCCUAGAUAGAUGACCGUCUAAGACAGAACUCGGCUUAUAGGCUUACUCAAUAC